CUUUUGGGGUUAAAACGGGGGAUGGUAGGUUGACUCACUCAUCAUGAAAUCUCCGCAACUAAAACAGCCACAAACUUGAAAUCUGGCAGGUAGGUUCCUUAUAGGGCGUAGACAUCCGUUAAUACCGAGUUUUAUGAAACUCGGCCCCUAAGGGAGUAAAACGGGAGUUGGAAGUUUGUAUGAAAGUGCUAUGUUUUUGAAGUAAGAGACUUUAAAUUUAAAAUGCAUGCUCUAUAAAUGGUGAGAAGGUGUCCAAAUAAUCUAUCUUUAGAAAUCCACUCCCUUUUGGGGUUAAAACGGGUGAUGGUAGGUUGACUCACUCAUCACGAAAUCUCCGAAACUAUAACAGCUACAAACUUGAAAUUUGGCAGAUAGGUUCCUUAUAGAGCGUAACCAUCCGCUAAGAACAAAUUUUACGAAA
rnacentral:misc_RNA from 1 species